rnacentral:snRNA from 1 species
GUGCUUGCUUCAGCAGCACAUAUACUAAAAUUGGAAUGAUACAGAGAAGAAUUGCAUGGCCCCUGCACAAAGAUGACAUGCAAAUUCGUGAAACGUUCCAUAUUUUU